UUAUAAAAUGUAGGCAAACGACCAAUAAAGUAGAUCCUGCUCACGCCUCCCUCUCCUCGUUUAUUUGCGAAAUUAUUAACUUGCAUUGUAGUUCUGUACGCAGUAUGAUUACAUGUACUUUCCACACCUGAUUUCUGUCAUUUCCCAUUAUUUUUUCUCUUAAGAAUUAAAAUAUAAAUUAAAUCUCCCAUCAUCAUAGAUAUUAAUGAAAGCAUAUUUUCCAACUACUUGAAGAAUCACUAUAUUGAUAGAGUUAGAAUAUGCAACUUCAAAACCACGAAAUUUUCUAAACAUGGAAAAUUACUAUUUUACAGUAAAAUCAGAAAGAACUAUGAAUUAAAACUAACAAGACCAUUUGAAAUUUCCAUUUGUGAGAGUAGUACGUUUUAAAUAGCUAAGAAUAUUUGCCCAUCCUUUAGAAAUUGAAACUGGUGAAUAUUCAAAACCAUGCAUUCCAAAAGAUUGUUGUUUUUGUCAGUUUUGUAAAACUACUGAAGAUGAGUUAAUUUUUUUUUAUCUCGCUGCUUUAUGAUGUUAGUAACAGGCUACUUGUCGGGGUGCACUUGGGCUGUUUACAUACAUGUGAUUUGAGGGUAGUAUUGUGCAGGUGGGAAAAAAUGCCAUGAUAUUGUUUUCCGCUGUCGGUAGUUUGGCAUCAAUUUUAAUUCCCCCCCCCCCUCCUUAUUAGAUACAUCGAGAAUAAUUACCGGUGUGAUACCUUGGAAGCUGGUGUAUGCAUAAAGUUAGACCUACUGGAAAUAGCUGAUACACGCAUGUAGAAAUGAAAAAUUUUCUAUCAGCCGUAUUCACUAUCCCGAAUUUGUAGAUCGUCAAUCAAAAGGAAAACACAGACUUCUAGCACUCGGAAGAAAGCGAAUAACAUAAACAAUCCUUAACACUACUGUCCAUGUAUAUUUAGAUAACUUUUAAAAAAUAUCUAUAAAGCUUUACACUGUAACAGUCAGAUUCCGGUAAUAGUUACAAGACUGUGACGUCACACUCGAGUAAGCCGUCUGACGUAUGCAAGACAGCGAAUGUGAAAGUACAUAGAAACUCUACAGACUGAUGAGAAUUACUUUAGACGGGGUACGUCAACAAAUAGGCACGACAGCGAAAAUACGGAAGUCACUUCGGGGACGUGUCGCAGAAUCGCAUAACUCUACACGAGAUUAAAAGAAAGAAAAAAAGACAAUGAAGACAACCAUGUAAAAACAAAUUCAAUCAAUUAAAUUAUCAGCAGAUUGAAA